AUUGUUUUAUAGACAGUAGUAUCUGUUUUUAUUCGUUUAAUAUCUGAUACAUCCUACAAUCGAGGACUUUAUAUUAAGUGGAUUUUUAGAGAAGGGAGCUGGAAGAGGGGCUUGCUCUGUCCGCUCCACGCAUGUCACUUUGCUUUAAAUAUAUAUAUAUAUAUAUA
ensembl:snRNA U2 U2 spliceosomal RNA